rnacentral:lncRNA from 1 species
AAAAAUCGAGAAGAAUAUUACCAGUUACUGGGUAAUAAACUCUGAGGGGACCAAAAUAUCUAUCUAGGUAAUAACUAGAAAGAAACGAUCAAACAAAGACUCAACCCAAAGAGGAUCUAACUCAAGGGGAGUGGUUCCAUCCAGAUAAUUAAUUGGGAGGAAACUGAAAUAAGAAUCAUUCAUGAGGAAAUAACUCAGUGGGGAAUGAGAAAGGUUAAACUCUU